rnacentral:rRNA from 2 species
GUGGGUAGUUUGACUGGGGCGGUCUCCUCCUAAAGAGUAACGGAGGAGCACGAAGGUUGGCUAAUCCUGGUCGGACAUCAGGAGGUUAGUGCAAUGGCAUAAGCCAGCUUGACUGCGAGCGUGACGGCGCGAGCAGGUGCGAAAGCAGGUCAUAGUGAUCCGGUGGUUCUGAAUGGAAGGGCCAUCGCUCAACGGAUAAAAGGUACUCCGGGGAUAACAGGCUGAUACCGCCCAAGAGUUCAUAUCGACGGCGGUGUUUGGCACCUCGAUGUCGGCUCAUCACAUCCUGGGGCUGAAGUAGGUCCCAAGGGUAUGGCUGUUCGCCAUUUAAAGUGGUACGCGAGCUGGGUUUAGAACGUCGUGAGACAGUUCGGUCCCUAUCUGCCGUGGGCGCUGGAGAACUGAGGGGGGCUGCUCCUAGUACGAGAGGACCGGAGUGGACGCAUCACUGGUGUUCGGGUUGUCAUGCCAAUGGCACUGCCCGGUAGCUAAAUGCGGAAGAGAUAAGUGCUGAAAGCAUCUAAGCACGAAACUUGCCCCGAGAUGAGUUCUCCCUGAGACUUUAGGUCUCCUGAAGGAACGUUGAAGACGACGACGUUGAUAGGCCGGGUGUGUAAGCGCAGCGAUGCGUUGAGCUAACCGGUACUAAUGAACCGUGAGGCUUAACCU